rnacentral:rRNA from 1 species
UGCCUAUAACAUAACAUUAAUGCACUGGAUCCUAUUAGAAAUCCACAGUUAAGCACACUCAGGCUAGAGUAGUACUGGGAUGGGUGACCACCCGGGAAGUCCUAGCAUUUUACUUGC